GACCUUUCCCUACAGCUGAACUAGCAGCAUUGUGCUCUGUGCCGUAACCUGCCUUGCUGCUCGGAAGGCUGCACUGACUUGUCAUAACCGAAGAUAUUUUAAUGCCAAAAGCCACCAGUGGCUUCAUCAGCUGGAUAAUGUGCUUUGAAAAAGUCAAAUUCGUGGCUUCUUCGAGUUGGGCAUCUAAUAAGGAUGACUCUCAGGCUGCUGGUGAAUUAAAGCUUAAGCUAAAGCCGACGAAAACAGGCUUCCCAUCGAAAGAAUGUCUUCAAAAAAUUUGGCAGAUUCAUAAUUUGUUCUUCUAACUCAGUCAACGAAGGAAUCUUAAGGGGACGUGAUCUUGAACUGGAUAUCUUUCUCUAUAUCUGCUUCUGCCAAUGAAGACUAUUAAAGCACAUUUAACAUUCAUUGUCAGUCUUCAUUAAAAUUGCAAAACGUACCAACUGUUGACGACAAGAACGACUACAACAACCCACAUCAGCAACAGCGGGCAACACGUUAACCAUACCAACAACAACAAUGUCGUCAACAAUAUAUGAACCAAUGUUGAAGACUACGACAAAUGGCUGCAAUGUUUACCCAACAAUUGACGCUGCCCGACGGCACGGCGGCGGGUGGCAGUGCUGGGCUUGGUGUGCGGGUAUGCAGAACUAUUGAUGGUGUUGAAACCAAAGAAAAGAAAAAAAGCAAUCACGAACUCAUUUUAAACUCGUUAAUUCAAAAAGUAUUUCUUAAGCGAGGGCUAAGAUACUACGUGUAGACUUUCAAGGAUUUUGAAGUUUAACUUGGAAACAAUCUAGUGGGAAAUCCCAGAGAAAAUCGAUUUUUUCACUAAAAAGUCACCCCUUCGGUUAUGCUUCUAUAAAUUACGAUUAAAAACGUAAAUAUUAAUUUAAAGUUUAAAUUAAAAAGUAUAGAAAGUUGCACAAGUACUGCAUACAUAUGUAUGUACAUGCUCGUACAAGGACAUGGUUGAUGUCCAGCUUCAAUUAAUUAAAAGUUUCCCUUUUGUGAUACGCAGAGUCAACUUCUGGUUGCGACAGUAGCUUUAACUUUUGUACAAAAACAAACAAAAAACAUAAGGUAAAAUAAAAUAAUAAAAGCGAAUUACAGAAAAUUUGGAGGCCGGUGCAAACUCUUGUAGAACUCAAAGUUGAUCUAUCAGCUGAUGUCCAAAUUGUACUGAAUUUAUUCUCAUCCAUGCUGAAUGGUAGUGAAAAGGGACCCCCACAAUAUUUCCUCGUCCGGCUAUGAAGAAGUUCAAAUUGUGAAAAAAACAAAGCGGCGGUGGGAUGGAUUAUUCGCUGAGCUACUCAAAUGCGGUGUCGGGUUUGCUAAAACAGGGUAGGAUGAAAAUAUUCCCAUGAUGGGAAUCUAAUUGUGCUCUGCCCAAUCCGCAAGAAGGGCGAAUUGUGUGAAAGACUAGAAGCGGCCUCCAUUCCGCUUUUUUCUGAAUUUGGAAACCUCGCAAAACUUACACGGCUGUAUAAAUUGACAUAGACAUUAUACAGCUAGGAAGCUCAGCGUUCAGGUCUGGAAAAGAAAGGUCCCCUCUCGAAAAACAAAUACAAAAAGAGGAAGAGCAAA